GAUAAUUUUCCGAUGCUGGGUCCAUCCAGACGUUAUUUCAUGAGGAAGGCUCUCAUCUCAUCUGGUGACGGUACAAAGGUUUCUGUGGACUCUCUGAUGACCUUUGACCCAGGAAGUAGCUGUCUGGCUGCUUUCCAGGAAGUGGUCGAGAUAUCUGAAUCCAUUCUGAACUGGGAGCUGGUUACCAGACGGAUCCAGGCAUGCAGCAGCAGCAGCAGCAGCUCCAGGGCCCGCGAGGUCAAGCCUGGCCGUCUGGGGAGCCAUUAGCGCAGCCAGCCAGCGACGGUCCAGCGGCAGAGGCUGCGCCCGGCCCUCUGCCCAGGGACCCCACCCCGCUGAACUGUCGUUUGUCUGGGCCGUCCCGGCAGCGCUGCGGGCUGCGCCGAGCCUUCAUCUGCAGGGAAGGCCGGGGCAGCUUCAUGCAGCAUCUCCUGCAGGAGGAGCAGCGCCAGCUGGAGGCGUUUCAUUAGCCGGAGCUGGAUGGGAGGCGUAACUCUGAGAAGACUGUAAGGUGCAGCUGAAACAAGAAGAACAGACGUUCCUUCCAAACCUUCUGAAACGGUGACAUGUCCAGAACCUGGAAGCUAGAAAGUGGGCUUGUGCCUCGGCUACGUCGCGUUUAAGAGUGAGGACUGAGCAGAGGACAUGGGAGAGAGCGUAAUGAAAGGCUUCUAAAUGACAGUGGGCUGACAGUGGGAUUGGCUGGACCAGGUAGAAGAGCAACGCUCCGUAAACAGGAAGUGAUGACGGCAGUGGGGUUUCGGGACGGAAACGCUGAAAGUUGCUCCGGAUGAUCUGUGCGGCGUCGGCGUUUUAAAAGUUGACGCAAUCAGGUCCGAGUCCGUGUGGAAGGCUUCGACGUCCACAAAACGGAAGAAGUUCUGAGAUCAGCAGAAACAAAAGGGCCGCCCUCGCCCCCUUUGCUUCGUUCAGAGAUGAUUAUAUUAUCUUAUCACGCCUGGAAGACUUGAUGUGAGCCUAACGAUUUCUACCAGCACCCAAUCUGCCGACGCUUAGCGGGAUCUGGCUCCAUCCCACCCCCCCUCCUCCCCUCCGCAUCUUUCUGCUGACUCGCCGCGCUCCGAGGACGGGUCAGAGGGCCGCAUGGAGAGCCAGGUGGGCAUGACGGGUCACUGCCAGCAACCAGGGGUCACCAGGAGCCUUUAAGCGGGAAAAGGAAUUCCACACAGUCGGCCGAGAGUCUGGACUUUGACUAGGCCGCUGCAAACCUUCUCUUCUUCAGCCGUUUGGGACAAUGUCUGCGCUCGCCGUCCUGGUAACGAUCGGUUUUGGGUCAAACCUCAGCUUUCGGACGUCUGACUCGAGGCAAGCGCUGGCAAACCGUCCCAAAGCAUAAUGCUGCCACCACCGGUUGGUCCAUCAGCUCAAUCCGAAUUCCCGCAGUCACCUUCCAUCUGCUGCCGUUGAGGUUCUGCCAGAUUGCAGAGCGUGGGGCGAAUUCAACAUGGCGACCAGAGUUUCUUUCCUCUGCGUCUGCGCUGAACGUUUAUCCAGCGGGACGGCGUCGAGAGGCCGAAUGUGAGGCGAGGUUUACGGUUUUCGCAGCUCAUUCUCAUUCUCGUGUGGGCUGACCUCCGUGGUCCUGUUAAAAAAUAAUAAACCACUCUAAUUAUCUCAGAAAGUCAGGCUUAUUACAGGCGGCAGUGGAGUUUUAGCCCUUCCUUCAUGCUAACGGCUCUUCCCCCGGGACCGACUGGUUGUUACUGGACUAAACUCUAAUCCUUUCUUCAUCUGCUCCAAGGUAAACAAGCUGCUACUGAUUCGGAUGCAUCAUCUAAUUGGAGGCUCGUGUUAGGUGUAUGUAUAUCAUAAAACUAUGCAGACAUGCUGCUUUUCCCAUUUAAACUCGGGGAAUGUGCAUUUUUUUACAUCCCACCUCU